GACGAACGCUGGCGGCGUGCUUAACACAUGCAAGUCGAACGGUAAGGCCCUUCGGGGUACACGAGUGGCGAACGGGUGAGUAACACGUGGGUGAUCUGCCCUGCACUUCGGGAUAAGCCUGGGAAACUGGGUCUAAUACCGGAUAGGACUCCGGACUGCAUGGUCGGGGGUGGAAAGCUUUUGCGGUGUGGGAUGGGCCCGCGGCCUAUCAGCUUGUUGGUGGGGUGAUGGCCUACCAAGGCGACGACGGGUAGCCGGCCUGAGAGGGUGACCGGCCACACUGGGACUGAGAUACAGCCCAGACUCCUACGGGAGGCAGCAGUGGGGAAUAUUGCACAAUGGGCGCAAGCCUGAUGCAGCGACGCCGCGUGAGGGAUGACGGCCUUCGGGUUGUAAACCUCUUUCAGCAUCGACGAAGCGAAAGUGACGGUAGGUGCAGAAGAAGGACCGGCCAACUACGUGCCAGCAGCCGCGGUAA
rnacentral:rRNA from 1 species